AUUUAUAGUUUGCAUUUACCUCUUGGAAAGGUUCCCAUUGUUACAGUGCCCCCACCUGUCCUCAUAUCACCAGGGGGAGACAGCAAUCUCUCCACUCCAGGUUCUCUCGUGUCUCUUUAGAUCAGUACAGCAGGUGUCUGUCUUUAAAUGAACCCAUGGUGCUGGGGGGGUGGGGAGAGGGUCUUUUGGGUCCCAAUUUCAUGUACAUUCGGGCUGCAGUUGCUUAGAAACAAAAUGAGAUUGGCACAGACAAAAAUCAAAUCAUAUAAAAUAUAAAUAAACUGCCAGAAUGGAGAGAGUGGUUUGUGUUUUGCAUAUGUAAAGCUCGCACGAUUGGGAGGUGAGAUAGCAGCAAUGCGGAGAGAGAAAUAACAUGAACUGUCAGAUCCAUUUCCAAUAAUCAAACAAAAAUGGACAUUUAACCCUGCGAUGCCUGAGGCCCAAGUAAUGCAGUAUACGUACAUUGCGAUAUAGUCUAACGUAGACUGGCACUAAUUGAAUUAGGCACAGUUUGUUUACACGGCUACUGAUUCCUACCCUGAAGCUAGUUAAUUGUGUGUUUUUCUCCCAUUUUAUUAUGAGUAUGUCCUUUGAGAUUUGCCUCUUUGCUGUUUUGAGGAAACUAAGUAAUUAGGGGGACUAGUAUAAGCCAAAUGGCAAAUGAUUUAGGUAAAUUAGAAAAAUGGUGGAAUGGGCAGACAAGUCUGGCCUGGUAGAGUGGAAAAUAGGCAGAGAUUAAUUACUUAGGGUUGUACCCCAUUUGAUAAUAGGCUAUCACCCAGAUGAUCUCUACUAGUAAAAAUAAGCCCCCAUAUAGGCUUGGUAAAUAGAUAUAAACAGAUAGGAAUAGAGGAUCCUACACGUACUAUGAGGGCACCUAAGACUUAAAACUAGAAAAAUGGUCAGAGUUGGGGCAACUGACAUUUAAUGUGGAUAAGUGCAAGAUAAUAAUCUUGGACGUAAAAACCCAAGGGCAGAGUACAGAAUAUUUGAUAGAGUCCUAACCUCAACAUCUGAGGAAAGGGAUUUAUGGGUGAUUAUUUCUGAUGACUUAAAGGUAGGCAGACAAUGUAAUAGAGCAGCAGGAAAUGCUAGCAGAAUGCUUGGUUGUAUAGGGAGAGGUAUUCGCAGUAGAAAGAGGGAAGUGCAGUGCUGUAUUUAGCGCGAGGCUGACAAGGCAUUUGCAUUAGGCGGCACUUUCAGGAGGGCGGCAAAAAGGCCACCACCCACCAAUCUCCAUGGCAAAUGCCUUGCCAGCCUCUUGUGCUGGGGGGCCCAGGAGCUGGCCGGCUGGCCACCUCAGGACCACCGCGCCCCUAGGAUGGCAUGCGCUGAUGUUAUGGGCAGCGAGGGAGCACUUUCUCCUGAGCUCUCCCUGUUCAACUCCCUUGCGCGCAC